UGCAGCCGCGCCCACGACCAGCACGCCAAGCGCGGAUCUCGCCCAACUCCCAGCAACCAAAUGCCCCCGCCUUGUCCUCGCCCGUACACCCGUGCUACGCCUCCGCAGCCGCUGAUGGCGGCAUGGUGCCCAGCAGCCGACCCUACUCCCAGCGGCUAGCCUCGGAUUCCACUAGGCGGGGAUCUCGCAGAUCACGCCGGACGGGGAUCUCGGCCACUCCUGAACAGCCGCAGAUCCCGUGCUCAGCCCCCACGCUCAGCAGGCUCACUAACGUGCAGUUGUUGUGGCUUGCAGGGGAAGGGUACGAGCAGCUUCGGCAAGCGCCGGAACAAGACGCACACGCUCUGCAUCCGCUGCAGCCGCCACAGCUUCCACCUCCAGAAGAGCACCUGCUCCUCCUGCGAUUACACUGCCGCCCGCAUCCGCAAGUAAGGACAAGCCUCCACAUCGAUAGAAGCAAAUCAAUCCAUUUCGUUUGACAAGUAGAAGAUUAUAUAUGUUCAACCAAAUGGACAUAAUUAGUGCUGUUUUGCAAAAGCAUUUUGGAUUUUCCAGUCUCAAAGCAUUCCAAAAGGAAGUCUUGGAUGCUUGGUUUGGUCAUGAGGAUUGUGUUCUCCUAGCAGCCAUAGGAUCAGGGUAGGAGGUACCAAAGGAAAUGAGCGAAACAUAGCAUACAGUCUCAGAUGCUGCAGGAUCACAUGAAAAUUAUUGAAGACGACGGUCCAGGUGCAGCCUUCUAUGCCAGUGCUAAGGCCAUGACUAAUGGAAAUCACACUUUCUAUGUGAGCAAACUGAUACAGAGGUUGGCUAGAUUAAGUAAAUAUGAUACAAUGUAUCACAUGCACAGGGACCUCUCAAGCAACAACCUCAAUGGAUAAGGCAUAUUAAAUAGUAAUGCUCCUUCCAUUUCAUAAUGUCAUUACUUCUUCAGCAUCAUGGGAGAAAAUCUUACUGUCAGGGUUCAGAGGAUGUUGUACGGAAUGAAGUUGGUUGAUUUGACGAAGAAGAAAACAUUUUUAGUCUUGUGGCUGUGCGUCUAGCUGUUGAUGCAGCUGAUGAGAAGUCGGCUAUAGCCGAGAGAAUUUUAGUCAUCCUGCAGAAAUAUGUCUUCCCAUAUGACUUAUUUCGUUGUUGGAUUUAUCAUCAAGUGGAGAGUGGCAAUACUUAGUCUGGCCACUACUUGUGCUUGCCAACUUUGCUUAGCAACUUUUAAUGAAGGGCUUUGCUGGUGUUGCGACAAAGAUACAUGCCAAGAGCAGUAUGGUUGCAGGUGAAGCAGUGAGUAACAUCUGCGUUAUAGUGGCAUUCAACGUUCAAAGCAAGAAAUGUAUUUGGUUUAAUUAUUGCAAGCAGUGAUCUGAAAUAUGUAAAUUAUCUUUAUAUGGUCUUUGCAAGGGAACACAUUUUCUGGCUCUAUACCAUCAGUGAUUAGCCCUGUACAAAUUUUAUUGAAAGAAAAACUAAAGGAAUGUUUUUA